UGUGUUCUUAUAUUUAUAUAAAACGAAAGGGUGUUUAGGGUAGGUCUCGCUGAAUAUUAUUUAUUCUCAAGGUCACUCAUUUUCACCCGGGCUUUUGGCGUUUGAGCCUUCUUGUCAGUACUGUGGAUUUUUUCUUGCACAAACUAAGUAUGAAGAAACAUCUCUGAAUCUUCUAUAUCUGCUCACUGACAGAAGGACGUAAUUUGAGCUGUGAGUGUAUUAUACUGUAGACUGGAAAGUGCUGAAUCCGGCAGCGCAAGGCGGAGUGACUGGCCAUACGUCGUACUCAUCCUGAUGUUGAGUAUAUGCAGCAUUCACAGAAGAACAUAUGGUGAACCAAGAGUUUUGGCCUCCACAGUCAUCAGACCUAAAAGUAUGACUUUUAUCUGUGGGAUUAAUUUAGGGUAAAGUUUAUGAAACUAAUCCCCAGACAGUCCCUGACUGAAACAGCAAAUUGAAAAUAAUGUCCAGAAUAACGAAUGUGUGAAGUUGCAGAAGGUAUUUCUGAACAAUACAUGGUAAGAUGGACACAACUUUGCCAAGCCACUAGCAGACACCACUUCUAGCAUGUCCUGCAACAGGCCUAUUGACCGGCCAUUACCCCACUAGUGCCGCAUACUAAUGUAUCCUUACUAGCAUCAGGGUAAUUUUCCACCUAUUUUUCCCUCACUAGCUGACUUUUCCUCCAUCUGUUCCAUCUCUGUUUCUUUUCAAUUUUCUUUUUUCAAUUUUCAUUUCCUCUUUAUAUCUUUCCUAUAUCCCCUUUUUAUUUUUAUCACUUAUAAUUUUUUGUGCAUUUUUAUUUUAAUUUUAUUUAAUCUCCACCUUUAUCCUGAUUGUUCUUCUUAUUUGAGGUCCUCUACAUCUUCUUCCCCUGCAUUAUUUAAAUUUUAAACUUUUUAGUUUUGCUACCUUUUCUAAUACCAUUCCAUUGACUUCUCUACUACCUAUCUGUAUCCAUUUAUCCUUCCAUUCCCUCUGCGUUUUCUGUACUGAUUGACACACAUUAA